rnacentral:rRNA from 1 species
GACGAACCGUGCGAACGUUGUUCGGAAUCACUGGGCUUAAAGGGCGCGUAGGCGGACCUCCAAGUCCGGGGUGAAAUCUUUCGGCUUAACCGGAAAAGUGCCUUGGAUACUGGGGGUCUCGAGGGAGGCAGGGGCGGAUGGAACUUCCGGUGGAGCGGUGAAAUGCGUUGAUAUCGGAAGGAACGCCGGUGGCGAAAGCGAUCCGCUGGACCUCUACUGACGCUGAGGCGCGAAAGCCAGGGGAGCAAACGGGG